GAGGUAGCUCAAUUGGCAGAGCAGCGGACUGUUAAUCCGUUGGUUGUGGGUUCAAGUCCCACCCUC
rnacentral:tRNA from 1 species